rnacentral:rRNA from 1 species
UACGGGGGGAGCAAGCGUUGUUCGGAUUUACUGGGCGUAAAGGGCGCGUAGGCGGCCAGCACAAGUCAGUUGUGAAAUCUCCGAGCUUAACUCGGAAAGGUCAACUGAUACUGUGCGGCUAGAGUGCGGAAGGGGCAACUGGAAUUCUUGGUGUAGCGGUGAAAUGCAUAGAUAUGACCCGGAACACCGAUUGCGAAGGCAGCCCACUAAGCAAUGAUUGACGCUGAGGCACGAAAGCGUGGGGAUCAAACAGG